rnacentral:rRNA from 1 species
AACGAACGCUGGCGGCAUGCCUAACACAUGCAAGUCGAACGAGACCUUCGGGUCUAGUGGCGCACGGGUGCGUAACGCGUGGGAACCUGCCCUUAGGUUCGGAAUAACUCCCCGAAAGGGGUGCUAAUACCGGAUAAUGUCUUCGGACCAAAGAUUUAUCGCCUUUGGAUGGGCCCGCGUUGGAUUAGCUAGUUGGUAGGGUAAAAGCCUACCAAGGCGACGAUCCAUAGCUGGUCUGAGAGGAUGAUCAGCCACACUGGGACUGAGACACGGCCCAGACUCCUACGGGAGGCAGGAGGGGGGAAUAUUGGAAAAUGGGCAAAAGCCUGAUCCAGCAAUGCCGGGUGAGUGAUGAAGGCCUUGGGGUGGUAAAGCUCUUUUCCCCGGGAUGAUAAUGACAGUACCGGGAAAAUAAGCCCCGGCUAACCCCGU